UUUCCCACUAACAAAAAAAGCCCCGUCAUGUUCACAUGACGGGGCUUUGCCCUUUCUUGGCU
rnacentral:sRNA from 1 species